CCACCCUCAAGCGCAAGCUUGGUGUUGGGGAUCGCCCCUCCUCGCGAGGCGGCGGCCCUUGAAUCCAUCGGCGGUGCCGGUGCGGCCUGGAGCGCAGCAGCGAUGCAGCUUCCUAGGGCCCGCUCGACGCCUGCCGCGAAAGCAGCGGCUGCUCGCAGUCGGAAACUUCAAA
rnacentral:misc_RNA from 1 species